rnacentral:rRNA from 2 species
CACGUAAGGGGCGAGCGUUGUUCGGAAUUAUUGGGCGUAAAGGGCGCGUAGGCGGUCCUGUAAGCCCGGCGUGAAAACCUGGAGCUCAACUCCGGGCCUGCGCUGGGAACUGCGGGACUAGAGUCAUGGAAGGGGAGUUGGAAUUCCAGGUGUAGGGGUGAAAUCUGUAGAUAUCUGGAAGAACACCGGUGGCGAAGGCGAACUUCUGGCCAAUGACUGACGCUGAGGCGCGAAAGUGCGGGGAGCAAAC